GUGUCAGCCGCCGCGGUAAGACGAACCGUGCGAACGUUGUUCGGAUUCACUGGGCUUAAAGGGCGCGUAGGCGGGUAUUCAAGUCUGGGGUGAAAUCCUCUCGCUUAACGAGAGAACAGCCCUGGAUACUGGGUACCUCGAGGGAGGUAGGGGCAUGUGGAACUUCCGGUGGAGCGGUGAAAUGCGUAGAUAUCGGAAGGAACGCCGGUGGCGAAAGCGACGUGCUGGACCUCUUCUGACGCUGAGGCGCGAAAGCCAGGGGAGCAAACGGGAUUAGAAACCCUGGUAGUCC
rnacentral:rRNA from 1 species